rnacentral:rRNA from 1 species
GACGAACGCUGGCGGCGUGCUUAACACAUGCAAGUCGAACGGAAAGGCCCUUCGGGGUACUCGAGUGGCGAACGGGUGAGUAACACGUGGGUGAUCUGCCCUGCACUUUGGGAUAAGCCUGGGAAACUGGGUCUAAUACCGAAUAGGACCACGCGCUUCAUGGUGUGUGGUGGAAAGCUUUUGCGGUGUGGGAUGGGCCCGCGGCCUAUCAGCUUGUUGGUGGGGUAAUGGCCUACCAAGGCGACGACGGGUAGCCGGCCUGAGAGGGUGACCGGCCACACUGGGACUGAGAUACGGCACAGACUCGUACGGGACGGAGCAGUGGGGAAUAGUGCAUAAUGGGAGCAAGCCUGAUGCAGCGACGCCGCGUGAGGGAUGACGGCCUUCGGGUUGUAAACCUCUUUCAAUAUGGACGAAGCGAAAGUGACGGUACCUAUAGAAGAAGCACCGGCCAACUACGUG